UAAUAAGUAAUAUGAGGACGUCAGCCUUGUAUGAAUAAGGGGGUACCAUCCUCCAAGGCUAAGUAUAAUAUAUCUAGCGAUAGUGGAGAGUAACGUGAGUGAAAGGUGAAAAGUAAGUAGAUGACUAGUGAAAUAGAACCUGAACUAGUAAUCCUAUAAGCAGUUGGAGUUUUAGUAAAAAAUGACAACGUACCUUUUGCAUAAUGGGUCAGCGAGUUAGUUUAUAGAGCAAGAUGAAUAAUCUAAGCGAAAGCAACUAUAAUAAGUGGAUCAAAAAUAGUUUUAUGAACUAGACCCGAAGCCAAAUGAUCUUACUAUGGCCAGGCUAAAAAAGGGCCGAACAGGUGAAUGUUGCAAAAUUCUCUGAUGAGCUGUGGUAAGGGGUGAAAGGCCAAUCUAAUUUGGAUGAUAGCUGGUAUUCUGCGAAACCUAUUUAGGUAGGGCCUUUAUUUACACUUUUAUAUGUACAGCACUGAUCAUCAUACAUUAGCCAGAUAUUUAUAUCACUAUGUUAAAUUGGGGGGUCUCACAACUCUACCAUUGAUGGUUAACCUCGGAAGGAUAAUAGUGAAUGAUAAGGGCACAGUCUAUUCAUGAUAAGGUGGAUAGACAAAAGGGAAACAGCCCAGAGCACGUGUUAAGGUCCCAAAAUAUUGUUAAGUGAAUAUAAGAAAGUUUAACUCCUAAUACAACCAUGAAGUAGGCUUGGAGGUAGCCAUCUUUUAAUGAUAGUGUAACAACUCAGUGGUCCAUGUUUCCCUAAUCCCUUACAGGGAUUAGGGAAACACAAAAAGAAAAAGAAAUUUUUCUUGCAGUUUCCUGGAGGAGAUAAGCGUCGAAAAUUAACGGGUCUUAGACAAUAUACCUACACCGUGACUAUUUAUAAUAUAUUCUAUUUUUAUUAUAAAUAAGGGUAGCAGAACAUUCAGUAUCUGAUUGAAGGGAAAUGUUUCAUUUACUGGACAGUACUGAAGAGAAAAUGCUGACAUGAGUAACGUAGAAAGGAGUUAAAACACUCCUCGCCGAAUACGAGAGGGUUUCAUGGAAAAGUUAAUCUGCCAUGAGUUAUACGGACUCUAAGGAUUAUAUGACGAAUGUUUAUAUCUGAUGAGAAUAAUAACACUGAAUUAUCUAUAUAUAAUAUCAUUUAAUCUGUAUGAGAUUGUACAGAGUAAAGGAUAGAUCAAGAAAAAUAAGUGUCACUAAAUUUAUAGUGAAUCCGUACCCUAAACCGACACAGGUUCGUAGGUAGAGAAUACUAAGGCGUAGAGAUAAUGCUUGUGAAGGAACUCGGCAAAUUGUGCCCGUAAGUUAGACGAUAAGGGUAACCAGAAUAAAAUAAUUCUAUUCUAAUUCUGAGUGUCACAUAAUCGAGGGCUGCGACUGUUUACCAAAAACACAGCAACUUGCUAAGACGAAUAGUACUUGUAUAAGUUGUGAACUCUGCCCAAUGCCAUGUCGUGUAAAGAAGGUGAUUUAUUUAGUAGUUAUACUAAAUAGUGUCACUAACUGAUGCCAUGGUGAAUGGCGGUCUUAACUAUAAGGAUCUGAAAGUAGCGAAAUUCCUUGGCCAUUAAAUGUGGUCCUGCAUGAAUGAGGUAACGUGGCCCUGCUGUCUCCACAAGCAUCUCAGUGAAAUUGAAUUAGCCGUGCAGAUGCGGUUUACCUUCAGUUAGACGGGAAGACCCUAUGCAGCUUUACUGUAACUUGAUAUUGUUUCUUCUAUAGCUAAGUGUAGUAUACAAGGGAGUAGAUAUUUUCUACAUCAGUGAAAUACCUUGAUUAGUCUAAAGAAGAAACUUACCUAAAUGACACUAAUCGAAUAGUUCUUCAUGAGAUAUUGCGAAGAUCUCUAGUUUACGUCUCUAUAAAUUAAAUAGGAUUUAAUUUUCAUUUUUUUUUUCUAUUAGGUUUAUGGAAAGAGGAGUUUAUUCUCUUCUUUCCAUAAAUGGAAUAGAGGAAGAAUUCUUCCUCUAUUCCAUUUAUAAUACAGCCCCUUUUAUAUUUAUAAAAUAUAAGAUAAACUGUAUAUGAAUAAUUUAUUAAAUUUAGUAGUCUGGGAAAAUAUCAGGUGGUCAGUUUGACUGGGACGGUAGCCUCUAAUAAAGUAUCAGAGGCCUUCAAAGGUAUGCAUAUAUUGGUCAGAAACCAAUGAACUAUGUAAAGUUUAUUAAAGCGUAAUAGUAUAAGCAUGCUUGACUGAAAGACUGAUAGGUCGAUCAGAUACGCAAGUAGGAUAUAGUGAUCCGGUGAUUCAUUAUGGAAUGGUCAUCGCUCAAGAAAUAAAAGUUACGCUAGGGAUAACAGGUUUAUCGUUUGCGAGAGUUCAUAUUGUCCAAACGGUUUGACACCUCGAUGUCGACUCAUCUCAUCCUCCAGGUGUAGUAGCUUGGAAGGGUUCAGCUGUUCGCUGAUUAAAGAGGUACGCGAGUUGG
rnacentral:rRNA from 1 species